GUUUUCGUAGGUAAAUAAUAUUAUGGAACUUUUUUUUUCAUGAGAGUGUAUUAGUCUAUAGAGUAUAAUAUUUACUAUUACUUUCUGUUUGGUGGAAUAGUGAAAUAGACGUCAAUACGUUCUUGCUCAAUUCUAUGUCGCUUUGAAGGUUUCCUGAUUGUUAUGACAUCCUCAGCCUAAGCAAUGUGUAUUACUGUAAUUUGAAUUUCAAAAUGACCGUGUGCCGUUUUUUCAACGCACUGGUCAACUCCACCAUAGCAAAUCAUAUGACUUUGACAAUCAGUAAAUACCAGCGAAAAAUAUCUUUAUAGGAAAAGAAUUGUCGUAUAAAAAUUAAAUACUCGGGAAAUGGCAAAGUUCACGAAGUCUAGUCUGAUUAACUUAAUUUUACAAAAAAAAAAAAAAAAAAAAAAAAGUCCGAGCAAAGGGGGGGCGUACGCCCUCUACGCCCCCCCCUGAAUCCGCCACUGG
rnacentral:lncRNA from 1 species